rnacentral:rRNA from 1 species
GCUCUCGCAUGGUUGAUUGGUCAGCGCGAAGUUCUACUUUAAUUUGUAGUACUUUAGCCACGUUAGUCUGAACGAUCUUAACAAAUCAUCAUGGGGCUUAUAGUGUGGGCACCUUGGCGUAUUACAUUGGGCAGGACAUUUAAAUUUUAAACCUGUCUGAAUUAACGGAUUGGCGAGUUUCUUUACUGUUGCUGAAACAGCCGCCAUGAAGAAGGAAUCGCGAGUAAUCGUAGAUCAUUAGCGCUACGGUGAAGGUUAACCCUCUAGAGUACAAACUGCCCGUCACCUAAGAUAACUGUAUUGUACCUGAAGAACUAAACUAACACCACAGG